AGGUCUUUUGUGAUUGAGUCAAUUAGAGGAGGGAAGUUGAUCUUAUAGGUAGAUGGUAGGUGAGCGGGGAGGUGAAUACCAAGGUACUUAAUUGAUCUGGAUGACCAGUUAAAGGAGAAUUUGGAUUUGAUCUGGUCAUUCAACAGGUCUGUUGAGAAAAUUGGCAUCAAGUCGCAUUUUGCGAGAUUGGCCUGAAAAAAAGAGAGUUUACCGUAAUAUUCCAUUUCAGAGAUAAUUAUGGGGAUGGUCUUGAGGGGCUCUGCUAUAGUAAAAAGGAGAUCAUCCGCAAACGCUGUAAUUUUAUAGUUAUGACUCUUAACCUGGAUUCCUCGGAUGAGGUCAUUGUCUCUAAUGCC